ACGUAGGCAGCAAGCGUUGUUCGGAAUUACUGGGCGUAAAGAGUGUGUAGGCGGUGUUCUAAGUCUGUUGUGAAAUCUCCCGGCUUAACCGGGAGGGUGCGGCGGAAACUGGAAUGCUAGAGGAUGGGAGAGGUAAGCGGAAUUCCUGGUGUAGCGGUGAAAUGCGUAGAUAUCAGGAGGAACACCUGUGGUGUAGACAGCUUACUGGACCAUUUCUGACGCUGAGACACGAAAGCGUGGGUAGCAAACAGGAUUAGAUACCCUGGUAGUCCACGCCCUAAACGAUGCAUACUUGGUGUGAGCGAUUCAUUUCGUUCGUGCCGGAGCUAACGCGUUAAGUAUGCCGCCUGGGGAGUACGGUCGCAAGGCUG
rnacentral:rRNA from 1 species